AGACCAGCCUCUAUGUUACC
rnacentral:misc_RNA from 1 species